UCUCUGGGGUUGGGGCCUGGAAUCUACAUGUUUUAAACAAAUGUCUCAGGUGAUUCUCUUGUGACCAGUCCAGUACUGUCUAAACAUUAGUAUGUAGGCAUUGUGGCUUGGCUCAGGUGGCCUCUGAGGGCUAUUCUACUUCAGAAGUUCUGCCUCUGUAAUUGAAAUCUGAUCCACCACACUACAAAGGGUUUUUCAAACUAUGGAUUAAAAACCCCAUAAACACUGGGGGGAAACAGACUACAAAGAGAAAAUGUAUUGUCUGGAGUAAGGGUAUUGUUCCGUGACAGUUCUUUCAGAGUUGAGGAUAUAUAGUAAGUGGCGAUGUAUAUUUUUUUUUUUUUUGAACUUGUGGACUGUGGUUAAACUUUGAAAGCCACUGCUGUAUAGAGAACACCCAGUCAAACCUUUGAUAUAGCAGGAAUGUGAAUUCCUGAGCCCCACACAUCAAGGCUCUGGAAGAGUUCAAGAAUCUGUGUGGGUAACAGGUGACCGGCCCUCAGACUACUUAAGAGAAACUACCAUGUUCUGUAAACCUACGCCUGUCCAUAGAACCCAACUCAUCCAGUGCUUUCCCAUGUGGCAGAGAGGGAGAUGGAGUAGUCCUAGUCUUAGGGGUGCAAGUCUUUUCUUUUUUUUUUUGGUGAUGGAUGUGAAGGGAUGAUUUGAAAAAGCAGUUAACAUCA
rnacentral:lncRNA from 1 species